rnacentral:rRNA from 1 species
UGAGUACGAGAUGCUACGGCAUCGAAGCAGUCUAUGUCAUACUUCCAAGAAAAGCUUGCAAUGUCAUAAACAAAUAAUGCCUGUACCAUAACCGACACAGGUGGGUAGGUAGAGUAUACUAAGGGGCGCGAGAUAACUCUCUCUAAGGAACUCGGCAAAAUGACUCCGUAACUUCGGGAGAAGGAGUGCCUUAUUUUUAUAAGGUUGCAAUAACAAGAUCCAAGCAACUGUUUACCAAAAACACAGGUCUCCGCUAAGUCGUAAGACGAUGUAUGGGGGCUGACGCCUGCCCAGUGCCAGAAGGUUAAAGAAGUUGGUUAGCAUUAGCGAAGCUGAUAACUGAAGCCCUGGUGAACGGCGGCCGUAACAAUAACGGUCCUAAGGUAGCGAAAUUCCUUGUCGGGUAAGUUCCGACCCGCACGAAAGGCGUAAUGAUUUGGAUACUGUCUCGGAGAGGGGCUCGGUGAAAUAGACUUGUCUGUGAAGAUGCGGACUACCUGCACCUGGACAGAAAGACCCUAUGAAGCUUUACUGUAACUUGAGAUUGAAAUUGGACUUUAUCUGCGCAGUAUAGGUGGGAGACGUUGAAAAUAUUCUUGCGGGAAUAUUGGAGUCAUCAGUGAGAUACCACUCUUAUAAUGUUAGAUUUCUAACUUUGUAUCAUUAUCUGGUCAAAGAACAGUUUCAGGCGGGCAGUUUGACUGGGGCGGUCGCCUCCCAAACGGUAACGGAGGCGCACAAAGGUUUCCUCUGAACGUGUAGAAAUCGUAUCUAGAGUGUAAAGGCAUAAGGAAGCUUGACUGUGAGACCUACAAGUCGAGCAGGGACGAAAGUCGGUCUUAGUGAUCUGACGGUGCUGAGUGGAAAGGCCGUCACUCAACGGAUAAAAGUUACUCUAGGAUAACAGGCUGAUCUCCCCCAAGAGUUCACAUCGACGGGGAGGUUUGGCACCUCGAUGUCGGCUCAUCGCAUCCUGGGGCGGUAGUACGUCCCAAGGGUUGGGCUGUUCGCCCAUGAAAGCGGUACGCGAGCUGGGUUCAGAACGUCGUGAGACAGUUCGGUCCAUAUCCGGUGUAGGCGUUAGAAUAUUGAGAGGAGCCUUCUUUAGUACGAGAGGACCGAGAAGGACAUACCUCUGGUGUACCAGUUAUCGUGCCAACGGUAAUCGCUGGGUAGCCAUGUAUGGAGAGGAUAACCGCUGAAAGCAUCUAAGUGGGAAGCCCACCUCAAGAUAAGUAUUCUCAUC